GAGUUUGAUCCUGGCUCAGGAUGAACGCUGGCGGCGUGCUUAACACAUGCAAGUCGAACGGAGUGCCCCUGAAGGAGUUUUCGGACAACUGAUGGGACUACUUAGUGGCGGACGGGUGAGUAACGCGUGAGUAACCUGCCUUGGAGUGGGGAAUAACAGCUGGAAACAGCUGCUAAUACCGCAUAAUAUGUCUGUGUCGCAUGGCACUGGACAUCAAAGAUUUAUCGCUCUGAGAUGGACUCGCGUCUGAUUAGCUAGUUGGCGGGGUAACGGCCCACCAAGGCGACGAUCAGUAGCCGGACUGAGAGGUUGGCCGGCCACAUUGGGACUGGGACACGGCCCAGACUCCUACGGGAGGCAGCAGUGGGGAAUAUUGGGCAAUGGGCGCAAGCCUGACCCAGCAACGCCGCGUGAAGGAAGAAGGCUUUCGGGUUGUAAACUUCUUUUCUCAGGGACGAAGCAAGUGACGGUACCUGAGGAAUAAGCCACGGCUAACUACGUGCCA
rnacentral:rRNA from 1 species